rnacentral:tmRNA from 1 species
GCAUUGCUACGAAAAAUCAAACAGAAAAUAAACGUGUAGAAAGCUACUUGAUUGCUUGUUUGGACCCGAGUUCGAUUCUCGGCGACUCCACGA